rnacentral:rRNA from 1 species
AGUUUGAUCAUGGCUCAGAUUGAACGCUGGCGGAUGCUUUACACAUGCAAGUCGAACGGCAGCACGGACUUCGGUCUGGUGGCGAGUGGCGAACGGGUGAGUAAUGUAUCGGAACGUGCCUAGUAGCGGGGAUAACUACGCGAAAGCGGUAUUAUCGUGCAUACGCCCUUCGGGGAGCGGGGACCUUCGGGCCUCGCACUACGGAGCGGCCGGAUAUCGGAUUAGCGAAGCAGGGUAACGGUUCACCAAGGCGACGAUCCGUAGCUGGUUUGAGGAGGACGACCAGCCACACUGGGACUGGAGAUGGCCUGACUCCUACGGGAGGCAGCAGUGGGGAAUUUUGACAAUGGGGGAAAACCCCGAUCCAGCCAUCCCGCGUGUGCGACGAAGGCCUUCGGGUUGUAAAGCACUUUUGGCAGGAAAGAAACGGCACGGGAUAAUACCGUGCAACUGACGGUAACGCAGAAUAAGCACCGGCUAACUACGUGCCAGCAGCCGCGGUAAUACGUAGGGCAAGCGUUAAUCGGAAUUACCGGGCGUAGCGUGCGCAGGCGGUUCGGAAAGAAAGAUGUGAAAUCCCAGAGCUUAACUUUGGAACUGCAUUUUUAACUACCGAGCUAGAGUGUGUCAGAGGAGGUGGAAUUCCGCGGCAGGCGCAAUGCGUAGAUAUGCGGAGGAACACCGGAUGGCGAAGGCAGCCUCUGGGAUAACACUGACGCUCAUGCACGAAAGCGUGGGGAGCAAACAGGAUUAGAUACCUCUGGUAGUCCACGCCCUAAACGAUGUCAACUAGCUGUUGGGGCCUUCGGGCCUUGGUAGCGCAGCUAACGCGUGAAGUUGACCGCCUGGGGAGGUUACUGCAAGAUUAAAACUCAAAGGAAUUGGUUUGGGACUCCACAAGCGGUGAUAUGACACUGAUGAGCCGCGAAAACUUUACCACCUUUGACAUGUCUGGAAUCCCGAAGAGAUCGGGAGUGCUCGCAAGAGAACCGGAACACAGGUGCUGCAUGGUUAAUACCAGCUCGUGUCGCAGAUGUUGGGUUAUCCGCAACGAGCGCAAACCUUGUCAUUAGUUGCUACGAAAGGGCACCUAAUGAGACUGCCGGUGACAAACCGGAGGAAGGUGGGGAUGACGUCAAGUCCAUGCGUAUUCCUUAUGGGUAGGGCUUCACACGUCAUACAAUGGUCGGGACAGAGGGUCGCCAACCCGGCGAGGGGGAGCCAAUCCCAGAAACCCGAUCGUAGUCCGGAUCGCAGUCUGCAACUCGACUGCGUGAAGUCGGAAUACAGUAAUCGCGGAUCAGCAUGUCGCGGUGAACACGUUCCCGGGUCUUCGUACACUGCCCGUCACACCAUGGGAGUGGGUUUUACCAGAAGCAGCGAAGCCUAACCGUAAGGAGGGCGAUUACCACGCGGUAGGAUUCAUGGGAUCGGGGUGAAGUCGUAACAAGGCAA